AGUGAACGCUGGCGGUAGGCUUAACACAUGCAAGUCGAACGGCAGCACAGUAAGAGCUUGACUACACGGGUGGAGAGUGGCAGAGGGGUGAGAUAUACCUGGACAUAUACAUUUUCGUGGGGGAUCAAGUAGGGAGACUGACGCUUAUACCGCAUACCACGUGCGGGAGAAAGCAGGAGCGCUUCAGCUCUCGCUCGUCUGACUGCCGCGAUGUCGGAUUAGCUAGUUGGCGGGGUAAAGGCCCACCAAGGCGACGAUCCGUAGCUGGUCUGAGAGGACGAUCAGCCACACUGGAACUGAGACACGGUCCAGACUCCUACGGGAGGCAGCAGUGGGGAAUAUUGGACAAUGGGCGCAAGCCUGAUCCAGCCAUACCGCGUGGAUGAAGAAGGCCUUCGGGUUGUAAAGCCCUUUUGUUGGGAAAGAAAAGCAGCAGGUUAAUACCCCGCUGUGCUGACGGUACCCAAAGAAUAAGCACCGGCUAACUUCGUG
rnacentral:rRNA from 1 species